rnacentral:rRNA from 1 species
CCUACGGGGGGCAGCAGUGGGGGAUAUUGCACAAUGGGGGGAACCCUGAUGCAGCGACGCCGCGUGAAGGAAGAAGUAUCUCGGUAUGUAAACUUCUAUCAGCAGGGAAGAAAAUGACGGUACCUGACUAAGAAGCCCCGGCUAACUACGUGCCAGCAGCCGCGGUAAUACGUAGGGGGCAAGCGUUAUCCGGAUUUACUGGGUGUAAAGGGAGCGUAGGCGGCAGUGCAAGUCAGAAGUGAAAGCCCGGGGCUCAACUCCGGGACUGCUUUUGAAACUGUACAGCUUGAGUGCAGGAGAGGCAAGUGGAAUUCCUAGUGUAGCGGUGAAAUGCGUAGAUAUUAGGAGGAACACCAGUGGCGAAGGCGGCUUACUGGACUGUAAAUGACGCUGAGGCUCGAAAGCGUGGGGAGCAAACAGGAUUAGAUACCAUAGUAGUC